rnacentral:hammerhead_ribozyme from 1 species
GUCCAGCUGAGUCCCAAACAGGACAAAACUCGCGUCCUGGAU